CUUUUGGAGAGUUUGAUUCUGGCUCAGAGUGAACGCUGGCGGCGUGGAUUAGGCAUGCAAGUCGAGCGAUCCCGUAAGGGAUAGCGGCAAAAGGGUGAGUAACACGUAAGUAAUUUUCCUAUAAGUCGGGGAUAGCACCGUGAAAAUGGUGGUAAUACCCGAUGUUAUCGGUUGUUCGCAUGAAUAGCCGAUCAAAGACGGGGACCGUAAGGCCUGUCGCUUAGAGAUGAGCUUGCGUACCAUCAGCUAGUUGGUAGGGUAACGGCCUACCAAGGCUAAGACGGUUAGCUGGUCUGAGAGGACGACCAGCCACAUUGGGACUGAGACACUGCCCAGACUCCUACGGGAGGCUGCAGUCGAGAAUAUUUAGCAAUGGACGAAAGUCUGACUAUGCGACGCCGCGUGCAGGAUGAAGGUCUUCGGAUUGUAAACUGCUUUUGUUAGGGGAGAAACCUGUGUUAUUAAUAGUAGCACAGCUGACGGUACCUGACGAAUAAGCCACGGCAAACCCCGUGCCAGCAGCCGCGGUAAUACGGGGGUGGCAAGCGUUACUCGGAAUUAUUGGGUGUAAAGGGCAGGUAGGUGGCUCUAUAAGUGAGGGGUGAAAUCCUGCGGUUUAAUCGCAGAACAGCCUUUCAAACUGCAGAGCUUGAGUGUGACAGAGGAAGAUGGAAUUCCUGGUGUAAGGGUGAAAUCUGUAGAUAUCAGGAAGAACACCAACGGCGAAGGCAAUCUUCUGGGUCACUUCUGACACUGAGCUGCGAAAGCUAGGGGAGCAAACAGAAUUAGAUACUCUGGUAGUCCUAGCCGUAAACGAUGAAUACUAGGUGUUGGUUCCUUCGGGAAUCAGCGCCGAAGCUAACGCAUUAAGUAUUCCACCUGGGGACUACGGUCGCAAGGCUAAAACUCAAAGAAAUUGACGGGGGCCCGCACAAGCGGUGGAACAUGUGGUUUAAUUCGAUGCUACGCGAAAAACCUCACCUGGGCUUGACAUGUAAGCAGUAGAGAAAUGAAAGUGGAUCGAACCGUCAAAUCGGUAACUUACACAGGUGCUGCAUGGCUGUCGUCAGCUCGUGUCGUGAGAUGUUGGGUUAAGUC
rnacentral:rRNA from 1 species